ACAUAUGUUCUUCCGGUUAGCAAAGGCACACUGUGACAGCAUCCACUUUCUACAUGCUAAUACAUGCACAGUAUUGUUCAGGGAAAGACAUAUGAAAACCUAUCAGCUUCCGAAGUCGGCAACAUCCUGCUGUCACUACAGUCUCAGCACCUACCAGCUCCCACUCUGUCAGCAACAUCCUGCUGUCACAUGUCCAGCUACCGGUACUUGAAGUUACUGUGUGCUUGUACAUUCUCAGCACCUACUAGCUCUCACUCUGUCAGCAACAUCCUGCUGUCACAUGUCCAGCUAUUGGUACUCGGAGUUACUAUUUGCUUGUACUUUCUCAGCACCUACCAGCUCCCACUCUGUCAGCAACAUCCUGUCCAGCUACCGGCACUUGGAGUUAUAGUGUGCUUGUACAUUCUCAUCAGCACCUACUAGCUCCCACUCUGUCAACAACAUCCUGCUGUCACACCUCCAGAUAUGUGGAGUUAUUGUGCUUUUACAGUCUCAGCCAGUAUUGGAUUGCAAGUUGUCUUAUGCUGCUACAACCUACACAUUUAGCAUUCUCUUGAACCUUGAGGAACCACCAUAUGAACAAAGAGACAGUCUCUGAAACACUCAUAAUAAACCUGUCACGGUGGUUUGUUGAACAUUAGUAUUAUUUGGAGGACUUGCAAUUAGCUCAUAUAGUCAACUAGCUAUUCCAGUCCUCUGGAAGAGUUUUUGCUUGAGGUUAUUCUAUACUAGUAGCAAGCCUUUUUUCGUGCACGGUCAAGAGUAGAUCGAGAAAGCAGUUGUUUUUAAGGGCAAAACAAUUGUUCUUGUUCCUUGAAAAAGUUGGUCAAAACAUUUUCCCAACCAUUUUUUUAUUUAAACAGUAAGAUAAAGGGGCAACGAGGACUGUUUAAUGCCAUUUCUACAUGGUAGAAAAACAAUUCAAUGCUAAUUUUUAUCCAAGAUAUUCAAAGUUUUGGUGUUAUUGGCAAAGAGAGUACCCGCAAGAGUGGUUGUGACAUGUACAUGCAAAACUGUUUGCAAUGAUUAUGCUAUUAUUAUGAUAAAAAUGGUGCAAAGUACGGCGUUAAAAUGGGCUCUCUCCUUGUACAUAGCACAAUACAUAAGUGAUUGUGAUCAUAAAUGUAUUGAAUUACAUAAAAUACAAUUGUGGAUAAAUAUUUGGUAAUUUGGGGGAGGGGGUGAGUGUAGGGGGGGGGGGGGAAGCAUAUUAAUGCCGGUGCAUACCUUGUCUGAUUGCUAUGAAAAUGUGAUAUUAUCAAGCAUUGGCUGAUUCAUGUUCGCACCAAUUAUGCCAGUGUCAUGGUCUCACUUAUCAGGUGUGUGCACUUCUCCAAAAGGGACAUUUAACUUCAAUACGCACGUGCAAAAUUGUGCUGCGGCUGUACAUUAUCGCCAACCUUAUUGCGUGUGCUCACUGCACUGUGUUUGUGAAGAAGUGAGCGCAUUCUAAGUAAGACUGUGACACUGGCUAAGCUGUGAAUUGCUACCGAGAUAAUUGCCUACUUUUGCGUCAUUUCGUCUAUGUUAAUUUAAGUAUUUGUUUACAAUAUCAUUUAUAGAUUAAACUCAUUAAAGAGACACUGCAGCCUGGCAAAUGCGCAAUUGGGCUACAAAAUGCAUUUUGAGUCGAAUGGUGUAAAGUGCUUGGGAUAUAAACAACUACACAAACAUCCAUUGAAAAUCACCUGGGGGGGGGCACUUUUGCAACCCCCAAACUAUGUGUGUUCAGUGCUGGUUGAGAUUCCAGCUGUAAACGUUUCACCCUCUGCGCACAUCAACCGGAUGUUUCAAGCAGGAUAUCGUAAACAAUGCAAAACAUGACAUUUUCAAGGAUUUCAGGGAACAAUAAUUUAUGGAAUUUUGAGGAAACAUUUUUGCUAUUUUGUUUGGUAGAAUACUAUUGUUUUAUAUUAAAGAAAAUGCUUUCAUACAAAUAAAAAAAUUAUACAAAUAAAAA
rnacentral:lncRNA from 1 species